UACGUAGGUGGCAAGCGUUGUCCGGAAUUAUUGGGCGUAAAGCGCGCGCAGGCGGUCCUUUAAGUCUGAUGUGAAAGCCCACGGCUCAACCGUGGAGGUCAUUGGAAACUGGGGGACUUGAGUACAGAAGAGAAGAGUGGAAUUCCACGUGUAGCGGUGAAAUGCGUAGAGAUGUGGAGGAACACCAGUGGCGAAGGCGACUCUUUGGUCUGUAACUGACGCUGAGGCGCGAAAGCGUGGGGGAGCAAACAGG
rnacentral:rRNA from 1 species